AGAGGACAUUUUUUGCUCAUUCCGAGUUCAACUGUGAGGACAAAAAACAAGAUUUGGAGCUGUGUUAAUAUUUGUAACUAGAGGAGAAUUGGAUCUGCUAGGAACUGACAAAAUAACACUCCAGUUUAAGUUAGGAAAUCUGAACAGCUACAGUGCCAAAUGCUGCCAAGGAACUGUUUUCAAGAGAUUGUCCUAAUUAGAACUUGUUCAGGAAGCAUGUUCAGUGGGAGCCUUUUUUGGUGGCAAUUAAAGAAAACAAGGCUGCCCUGAAUCUAAAGGCAGCUGCUUCACAAAAUUCUUCUUGGAAUGCCAAAGAAUUGAGUGCUCACAUUCCUCAAGCACGCUAUGAUUACAAGUAACUGCAAAUUUCCGUCAUCUUGUAACCUCCAUCAUCUGAUAUCUUCUGGGAGUAGAAAGGGCUGUCAGCUACUAUUGCUGGACACAAAAGAUCCUGAGGAAGAGAAAUUCAUAAGCAAAUGUCACUGUUGGAUGCAGAAAGGUACUAACUAGGGUGCAGUCAAAGGAAUCCAUGAGUAAGAAGUAUCUGGUCUUAAUCUGAUGAGGUAUGCUCAUUAAUUUAUCUAUCUGAGUUGAAAUUCGGUCUCUGUGAGCAGAAACAAUAUUGCAACACUCCUUUAUUAAUUGCGUGUGUGAGAUAAACAUCUUUCUGUGAGAUGAUUUUCCUUACCUUCUGCACAUUAAAGGUCUUCUUUUCAUCCUCUUCAUGAGGAUCCCAUCCCACCUGGCACUUCUAGACUGUAUACCUCAGGAAAACAUUUGAGUCAAAAACUUGCGAAGAUAUCCGGAGCUCUGGGCUGCCUUCUCAUGCAGACAAUCUUUUGCACAGUGACAAUGUGGAAGGAAGGAAUAGCUUAAGUGACUCACUGCAUAUAUAAUCCAGGCAUGGUAGAGCAAAAUGAGGUUACCAGCUAUGGACUUCAGUUAGCAGAUACACCAUGAAAGACCCACCCUGAUACUUAACUAAGAAAUAAAAAGACUGUGAUGUGAGACUUGGUAAGUUAG
rnacentral:lncRNA from 1 species